CCCCAGCUGAGGCGGUUCCAGGUGGCCUUUUAUAUGAGAGAGUGUCCAAUCAGUCUGGACGCUCUUUCGAAAAAGCACCUUGCUUUCGAUGCGCUUGUGUGUGGACCCGCUCUUGUGCAAGAAGUUUUUUCUGAAGAUCUUUUCUGAAAGAAGCUUCUUCCAAAAGAAGCCUGCAGUCUAGACAUAACCUAAGUCACCGAGUGCUGGCCAGCACUCCUCCUACCCACCACAGGCACAAAUACUUCACUGUGAGAAUGAAUCACAUUGGAACAAACUACCAAAGCAAGUGCUGGAGUCUCUAUUUCUUGAUGUUUUCUAAUGUAGGCUAAAAGCCUUUCUGGUGUGUGCUUGGCUAUUAUGAUAUAUAGGAGGGCUGGGAUAGUCAGGAGCCAGAUUUGAUGGUCUUUUGGCCUUUAAAGACCAGUAAUUAAUGUGUGGUAUAGGGAGCAGCUUCUGGGGUUUUACUCUGCAGCCAGCUUGAUUCUCAUACUCUGUUGUCAUUAAGUGGGGUGGUCCAGGGGAAACCACUCCAACAUUCAAGAGGCUGGUUAAGAUCAGGCCACCAGCCUUUCAGGGGAGAGCUGGGUGUGGCAUUGACAUCACAAAGGCCUGUUGCAGGACCUGAGUCUGUUGGGGGACAGUGUGUGUGGGGGAGGUGGUGACCCCAUAGAGAGACCCUGACAUCAGGCAGACAGGGCAGUAGUGCAAGGCAGAGGCAACCUCAGAGACUUCUGUGGCUUUGCAGCAGCCAGGAUCCUUCUCAGAGUCUUUCCGUGGGGACUCAGAGUGAAGUAGGAUUAAUGUAUGUGAGCAUGAGCAUGAGAACCGUGUCAGAGUUCUCUCCUUCCCCACUGAUUUUGUGGUCUGUGGUUAGAAGGUAAGAGCUUCAGGGAAGUUUGGAACCUGUUCAGUCUGAUCCAGCUGGUACCAGCUGCAGUCUAGGCACAGAAAUCACUAGGUUAAGAUGAUCUGAUUUUCUACCGAAGACUUGUCCCAUAGAAUUGCUGCCAGAGGACAUAACUUUAUACGUCUGUAUGUGACUCUCAGGAUUUGUAUACUUUCUUGUAUUUUCAUAUACUGUCAACAUUUGUGCAAAGUAAGGACACAAGAUUUUGGUAAAAGAAUGCCAACUUCCGAUUUCAUGUGAUUGUCUGUUUUUAUUGCAGAGGGCACAGGUUUUAAGACAUACUAGGAGUGUACGCGCAGCGGUAUUCUCUGGCUGACCUGUUCAGAAGUCAGUGCUGCUAUCAACAGCAGUGUAGAAGGAAAUGCAGCAAGAGAAAUUGACAUCAUAACAGAAAGUAUCCAGGAGGUCAGCCUAAGCUAGGAGGAAGAUUGACUGUGAGAUGCAUAAGAUUAUUGGAGUGACGACCCUGCUUGAUGGCAUCACCCUGAAGCAAUUACUUCCAAAGCUACUCUACCAGUUCAGGAGAUUCACAGUAUUCCUGCUAGCCACAACAUAGGUUUUGGGAGUCCUGAGGUCCUUCCUGAAUCCCUACAUGGUAACAAUGUUGCGCCUACAGUAAGCAGCUUUACAGAUACACCUGAAGUCGCCAUGAAGAUAUGAAUGACUCAAGACAAGUGUCUGUCACAAAUGUGCCACAAACAUGAAAAACAAAUACAAUGAGACAUUUGAUAAAGUUAUUUUAAUGGAA